rnacentral:rRNA from 1 species
GACGAACGCUGGCGGCGUGCUUAACACAUGCAAGUCGAACGGAAAGGCCCUGCUUUUGUGGGGUGCUCGAGUGGCGAACGGGUGAGUAACACGUGAGUAACCUGCCCUUGACUUUGGGAUAACUUCAGGAAACUGGGGCUAAUACCGGAUAGGAGCUCCUGCUGCAUGGUGGGGGUUGGAAAGUUUCGGCGGUUGGGGAUGGACUCGCGGCUUAUCAGCUUGUUGGUGGGGUAGUGGCUUACCAAGGCUUUGACGGGUAGCCGGCCUGAGAGGGUGACCGGCCACAUUGGGACUGAGAUACGGCCCAGACUCCUACGGGAGGCAGAAGUGGGGAAUAUUGCACAAUGGGCGGAAGCCUGAUGCAGCAACGCCGCGUGCGGGAUGACGGCCUUCGGGUUGUAAACCGCUUUCGCCUGUGACGAAGCGUGAGUGACGGGAAUGGGUAAAGAAGCACCGGCGAACUACGU